UAGGGAAUCUUCCGCAAUGGGCGAAAGCUUGACGGAGCAACGCCGCGUGAGUGAUGAAGGUCUUCGGAUCGUAAAACUCUGUUAUUAGGGAAGAACAAAUGUGUAAGUAACUAUGCACGUCUUGACGGUACCUAAUCAGAAAGCCACGGCUAACUACGUGCCAGCAGCCGCGGUAAUACGUAGGUGGCAAGCGUUAUCCGGAAUUAUUGGGCGUAAAGCGCGCGUAGGCGGUUUUUUAAGUCGGAUGUGAAAGCCCACGGCUCAACCGUGGAGGGUCAUUGGAAACUGAAAACUUGAGUGCAGAAGAGGAAAGUGGAAUUCCAUGUGUAGCGGUGAAAUGCGCAGAGAUAUGGAGGAACACCAGUGGCGAAGGCGACUUUCUGGUCUGUAACUGACGCUGAUGUGCGAAAGCGUGGGGAUCAAACAGG
rnacentral:rRNA from 1 species